rnacentral:lncRNA from 1 species
AUAACAAUUAUUUAAAGAAAUUCCAUUGUGACAGCGUCCUUUAAGAGGGAACGCAAUGAAACUUUUUAUCAGCUUUUAAUUAAUAUUUAAACAUGUUAAAAUCAGUGAAGGUAUUACACUCUGGGGUGAUAUUACAUUUAUCUGACCAUAGAUGUAAUACCAUCUAUGAUCUGACCAAACAUCUUUUAUAUGUAUUGUAUUUUGGAAUUAAAAUAUCUUCAUAAUGAAAGAUGUAAAAUGGGCAAUAAGAAAAAAGUGUUUAAGAUGUGACGAAUUUAUUGGAAGAGAUGGUGAUAUUAUUGCGACUAUUUUGCUUCUUAACAAGAUGAUGAGCGGGGGAAAUAUUGAAAUAUAUCUAUAGGUCUGUUUUUUGUUAAUCAAUAUAUGACAAGGUAUAUAUUUUUGAUUAACAAAAUAUAUGAAAAGGGUGGGGUACUUGAUGUCUCAGCUGCUCACCCCUACCAAAAAAAGUUUGAAGUGGCUCCCCCGAGUA